GCCUCCUAACAGUAUAAACCAGUGAAUCAUUAUAGAUCUUUCAGUGUUACAUUUAGGAAAACUGGGAAUUACCUUCAAAAACCUCCUAUUCUGGAAAGAUCAUCUUCACUGAGAAACAACCCUUGGAGGUAUUAAAGAUUUUCUUUUGCUCAAAAAUGAUAAGACUAAGUAUUGCUCAGGAGACCCAGUCAUGGACCAGGCCUCUUCGGGCUGUGAAGGGUGUAUAAACUCAGAAGAAAUUACUGGUGAUCCAAAAAGAGAGAGGCAAAGGAAGGCUUUUGCAAUUAACUGCCACUGCAGAGCUGGAGGAAAUGCAUCAGAGGAUGUUGGACAACCAAUGCUUAUUGAGCAGUUCUCCUCUAAUGUUCAAUGAGGAUUAGGACCAACAAUGUGUUGUUUAGGAGGUAGCCCACCUGGAACAAUUUAUUCUUGUAUAUUCCCUCAUGCAUUUUUCCAGACUUUCCACAUCCUCAUCUCCAUCAAAAAUUAAUGCUAUCCCACCAUGGUGAAAACUUCAGUGGACGAUCUCUGAACAGCAAUAGUUCCCCUGUCCCAUCUCCACUUACAGAAGUUCAGUUUGCUUUGUGAAACAGACUCAGACCUUAAGAAGUGAAAUGUUCUGGGUGAAACAAAACUAGAAGAUGCACAUUCCAAGAAGCUGCCUACUGCACUUCAGCCAUCCACAAAUGCUCGGUCCACAGGGUACUUAAGUUGCACUAGGACUCUGCAGCCUGGACCAUUCUGCAAUACCAAUCUCAACACCUAUGUUUUAGACGGUGUUGUGAAGAACAGUUCAGCAGCUAUCCAAGGUUGACAACUCUUCUCUCACUUUUCUCAGCAAAAGCAGAGGCAGUUUGGAUGCUUAGCUGAUGUUUAGCUGGAUUGCAUAUGAAUCUGCAGGCUGACACGGAAGUCUCAACUGGCAAUGGUACUUACAUCUUCCUCUGCUAGCCCCACCAAUAGUUAUCAGUCAUAACAGUGCCAAACAAGCUAGCAAAACCAUUCUCUAAUCCUAGGGGAGGCUGUUGAAUAUUGCUAUCAAAUAAAGGCAUCAUUGUUUCACUAGUUCGCUGCUGUCAAUAGAGG